rnacentral:rRNA from 1 species
UACAGAGGGGGCAAGCGUUGUUCGGAAUUACUGGGCGUAAAGGGCGCGUAGGCGGCCUUCUAAGUCGAACGUGAAAUCCCCGGGCUCAACCCGGGAACUGCGUCCGAUACUGGAAGGCUCGAAUCCGGGAGAGGGAUGCGGAAUUCCAGGUGUAGCGGUGAAAUGCGUAGAUAUCUGGAGGAACACCGGUGGCGAAGGCGGCAUCCUGGACCGGUAUUGACGCUGAGGCGCGAAGGCCAGGGGAGCAAACGGG